CCCUCUGAUGAAAAGCACCCUUGUCUUUCCCCUGGAAACUCUCCUUCUCGGGAACGGCUUCGCUCCCCUCUGCCCCUUUGUCCUAGACCCCAGCCUCCGGGCUUUCCCAACCUGGGCCUGGCCGACCCCCACCCCCCCGCUCCCCUCCUGGGCCCCAUCUCAGGAGGCCCCGGUGAGGUCAUCCUUGCACAAUAGAGCCAGGGUCUGCUUUCUGCUGAAGAGGGAGACUCGGGGUGGGGGAGACAGGCAGGAGGCUGCAAUUACAGGGUCCACAAUGGGGAGCUGUCAAGGGGGCCCCUGCCAAUUAGAGCUGCUGCAGGGAGCCGGGGGAGGGCGAGGGCGCAGGGGGGCAGGCAGGCCUCGAGGAUCAGGUCAGGUAGGCUCCAGCCCUCAUUGUCCGAUCGGGCAUUCAUUCAUACACACACACACACACACACACACACACAACACACACACACACACACACACACACACACACACACACAUAUUCAUUCAUGCUGUUAAUAUUGUCUGGGCACCUGCUAUGUGUUACGCACUGUGCUAUAAACAACAGGGACACAGCAGUGACCCGGCAGAUAAGGCUGGGCUCCACUGGAGCAAACCGUGGGGUAGACAAGACAAGCAGCAAACAGAUAAAUGUGCGUCACAUUCACGAGUCAAGUGUCACGAUGGAAAUAAGAUGGCACGAAACCACAGAAAGCAGCAGGGUGGGGGGGUGGGGGGGCAAUAUUGUCGACGUGGUCAGGGCAGGCUUCUUGGAGGAGGUGACAUUCGAGCCGAGACCCGGAAAGCAAGACAUGGUCAGCCAUGCCACAACCAGAGGAGGAAUGUUCCAGGCAGAGGACACCAUAAGUACCUGAGUCGGGAGCAUGCCUGGUUGGGCGGGGAUCAGAAACAUGGCCUGUGCGGUAGAAGGGCGGUGGGUGAGGGAGAAGGGAGGCUGUGCAGAGCCAUAGGAUUUUGGAGCUGGCUCCCCAGAGCCGUUGCAUGCAGCCGUUCCCAGCUCAGUGUGCAGGCCGUGAGCUUGAAAUGGAUCAUAGUGGGAGGGUUUACACCCUGGAAAUCAGCAAAUGCUGCAAAUCAGGGCUUUUCCCCCCUGGGGGACCCACUGUUAAAGGUUUACCAGCAUAGGAU
rnacentral:lncRNA from 1 species